GACGAACGCUGGCGGCGUGCUUAACACAUGCCAGUCGAACGGAAAGGCCCUGCUUUUGUGGGGUGCUCGAGUGGCGAACGGGUGAGUAACACGUGAGUAACCUGCCCUUGACUUUGGGAUAACUUCAGGAAACUGGGGCUAAUACCGGAUAGGAGCUCCUGCUGCAUGGUGGGGGUUGGAAAGUUUCGGCGGUUGGGGAUGGACUCGCGGCUUAUCAGCUUGUUGGUGGGGUAGUGGCUUACCAAGGCUUUGACGGGUAGCCGGCCUGAGAGGGUGACCGGCCACAUUGGGACUGAGAUACGGCCCAGACUCCUACGGGAGGCGGCAGUGGGGAAUAUUGCACAAUGGGCGGAAGCCUGAUGCAGCAACGCCGCGUGCGGGAUGACGGCCUUCGGGUUGUAAACCGCUUUCGCCUGUGACGAAGCGUGAGUGGCGGUAAUGGGUAAAGAAGCACCGGCUAACUACGUG
rnacentral:rRNA from 1 species